rnacentral:rRNA from 1 species
AGUGGACGCUGGCGGUAGGCCUAACACAUGCAAGUCGAACGGCAGCACAGUAAGAGCUUGCUCUUGCGGGUGGCGAGUGGCGGACGGGUGAGGAAUACAUCGGAAUCUACUUUUUCGUGGGGGAUAACGUAGGGAAACUUACGCUAAUACCGCAUACGACCUACGGGUGAAAGCAGGGGAUCUUCGGACCUUGCGCGAUUGAAUGAGCCGAUGUCGGAUUAGCUAGUUGGCGGGGUAAAGGCCCACCAAGGCGACGAUCCGUAGCUGGUCUGAGAGGAUGAUCAGCCACACUGGAACUGAGACACGGUCCAGACUCCUACGGGAGGCAGCAGUGGGGAAUAUUGGACAAUGGGCGCAAGCCUGAUCCAGCCAUACCGCGUGGGUGAAGAAGGCCUUCGGGUUGUAAAGCCCUUUUGUUGGGAAAGAAAAGCAGCAGGUUAAUACCCCGCUGUUCUGACGGUACCCAAAGAAUAAGCACCGGCUAACUUCGUG